AGGGCGGGACACGUGGUAUCCUGUCUGAAUAUGGGGGGCCCAUCCUCCAAGGCUAAAUACUCCUGACUGACCGAUAGUGAACCAGUACCGUGAGGGAAAGGCGAAAAGAACCCCGGCGAGGGGAGUGAAAAAGAACCUGAAACCGUGUACGUACAAGCAGUGGGAGCACGCUUAGGCGUGUGACUGCGUACCUUUUGUAUAAUGGGUCAGCGACUUAUAUUCUGUAGCAAGGUUAACCGAAUAGGGGAGCCGAAGGGAAACCGAGUCUUAACUGGGCGUUAAGUUGCAGGGUAUAGACCCGAAACCCGGUGAUCUAGCCAUGGGCAGGUUGAAGGUUGGGUAACACUAACUGGAGGACCGAACCGACUAAUGUUGAAAAAUUAGCGGAUGACUUGUGGCUGGGGGUGAAAGGCCAAUCAAACCGGGAGAUAGCUGGUUCUCCCCGAAAGCUAUUUAGGUAGCGCCUCGUGAAUUCAUCUCCGGGGGUAGAGCACUGUUUCGGCA
rnacentral:rRNA from 1 species